GGCGGCCUCGGCCUCCUCCUCCUCCUCCUCCUCCUCCCCGGGGCUCCCCCGUGCGAAAGGCGAGACGUGCCCCCCGGCCCCGUGCUCGCGGUUGGCUCUGUGGUUGCGCCGUGUCCUGGAGCGGGGCAGCCGGAACCGCGUGUCCUCGCCUGCCAGCUGAAGUUUCCCUUGCAUGUUUAGAAGAUUAUGACUGCCUGUGGCUUAUGGCUUUGUCUCCUCUGCCACAGGACAGGGCAGUCUUGCUGGGCUCUGUUCCAGCAGCCCCG
rnacentral:lncRNA from 1 species